rnacentral:tRNA from 1 species
GCGGAUGUGGCGAAACUGGUAGACGCACUAGACUUAGGAUCUAGCGCCGAGAGGCAUGCGGGUUCGAGUCCCUCCAUCCGCACCA